CCAGACUCCUACGGGAGGCAGCAGUGGGGAAUAUUGCACAAUGGGGGAAACCCUGAUGCAGCGACGCCGCGUGAGCGAUGAAGUAUUUCGGUAUGUAAAGUUCUAUCAGCAGGGAAGAAAAUGACAGUACCUGACCAAGAAGCCCCGGCUAACUACGUGCCAGCAGCCGCGGUAAUACGUAGGGGGCGAGCGUUAUCCGGAUUCACUGGGCGUAAAGGGAGCGCAGGCGGCACGGCAAGUCCGGUGUGAAAGCCCGGGGCCCAACCCCGGGACUGCUCUUGGAACUGCGUGGCUGGAGUGCAGGAGGGGCAGGCGGAAUUCCUGGUGUAGCGGUGAAAUGCGUAGAUAUCAGGAGGAACACCGGUGGCGAAGGCGGCCUGCUGGACUGCAACUGACGUUGAGGCCCGAAAGCGUGGGGAGCAAACAGGAUUAGAUACCCCAGUAU
rnacentral:rRNA from 1 species